AACGAACGCUGGCGGCAGGCUUAACACAUGCAAGUCGAACGCAUCCUUCGGGGUGAGUGGCAGACGGGUGAGUAACGCGUGGGAACGUGCCCUUCAGUUCGGGAUAACCCAGGGAAACUUGGGCUAAUACCGGAUACGUGCGAGAGCAGAAAGAUUUAUCGCUGAAGGAUCGGCCCGCGUCUGAUUAGCUAGUUGGCGGGGUAAUGGCCCACCAAGGCGACGAUCAGUAGCUGGUCUGAGAGGAUGAUCAGCCACAUUGGGACUGAGACACGGCCCAAACUCCUACGGGAGGCAGCAGUGGGGAAUAUUGGACAAUGGGCGCAAGCCUGAUCCAGCCUUGCCGCGUGAGUGAUGAAGGCCUUAGGGUUGUAAAGCUCUUUCGUCCGGGACGAUAAUGACGGUACCGGAAGAAGAAGCCCCGGCUAACUUCGUGCCAGCCGCCGCGGUAAGAC
rnacentral:rRNA from 1 species